GGCGGUUCUCAGGUGAUGCACCCCAGAAUCGGGCUUCCUCCUCUCUGGUUCCGGGUGCAUCACCUGAGAACUGCA
rfam:Myotis brandtii contig324770, whole genome shotgun sequence.